rnacentral:rRNA from 1 species
AGAGGGGUGCAAGCGUUAAUCGGAUUUGCUGGGCGUAAAGAGCACGUAGGUGGCUAACUAAGUUGUAUGUGAAAUACCCGGGCUUAACCUGGGAGGGUCAUGCAAAACUGGUUGGCUAGAGUAAGGGAGAGGGAAGUGGAAUUUCCGGUGUAGCGGUGAAAUGCGUAGAUAUCGGAAGGAACACCAGUGGCGAAGGCGACUUCCUGGCCCAUUACUGACACUGAGGAGCGAAAGCGUGGGGAGCGAACAGGAUUAGAUACCCUGGUAGUCCACGCCGUAAACGAUGAGAACUAGCCGUUGGAGGCGAUAAGCAUUCAGUGGCGCAGCAAACGCGAUAAGUUCUCCGCCUGGGGAGUACGGCCGCAAGGUUA